UACGAAGGGGGCUAGCGUUGUUCGGAAUUACUGGGCGUAAAGCGCACGUAGGCGGACAUUUAAGUCAGGGGUGAAAUCCCAGAGCUCAACUCUGGAACUGCCUUUGAUACUGGGUGUCUGGAGUAUGGAAGAGGUGAGUGGAAUUCCGAGUGUAGAGGUGAAAUUCGUAGAUAUUCGGAGGAACACCAGUGGCGAAGGCGGCUCACUGGCCCGAUACUGACGCUGAGGCACGAAAGCGUGGGGAGCAAACAGG
rnacentral:rRNA from 1 species